AUUGAACGCUGGCGGCAUGCCUUACACAUGCAAGUCGAACGGCAGCACGGGAGCAAUCCUGGUGGCGAGUGGCGAACGGGUGAGUAAUAUAUCGGAACGUGCCCAGUCGUGGGGGAUAACGCAGCGAAAGCUGUGCUAAUACCGCAUACGAUCUCUGGAUGAAAGCGGGGGACUCGCAAGAGCCUCGCGCGAUUGGAGCGGCCGAUAUCAGAUUAGCUAGUUGGUGGGGUAAAGGCUCACCAAGGCGACGAUCUGUAGCUGGUCUGAGAGGACGACCAGCCACACUGGAACUGAGACACGGUCCAGACUCCUACGGGAGGCAG
rnacentral:rRNA from 1 species